CAUCGCCAUAGGGACACACGUACAAGGAAAUUGCUACCAAAUGCUGCCAAUGUGACGUCACUGGGAUGCUCGAAAGCUGAUUGGUCGCUGAGAUUCGAGUAAUGUAGUCAAUUCUGGCGCACCGGCGCAGUGUUUUCCGACCGUUGCGUGUUAUUACUUUGGUUGCUAUGCAAAGUUUGAAUAUGUUUGUUUAAUAAUAUAAACACAUUUUCAUGUGUUUGAAGGUCGCAAAAGCUUAACAUAAGUGGCAACCACACUUUGUAUUACGUUUCGUCUCAUAUAUCAUGAAGAACAACCCAGUAUUUCAAGGAAAGCUGAGGCGAGGGCGAGUAGGUCCCUGAGGAGGACCAUGCAAAGGAGGUCAAGGAGAUUCUGGGGGCAACCUGCGAGCAACCUCUAGACCAUCCAGCAGGGACCUCUGACAAUGCCGCCGCCGGUGUCGACGCUGGCAGCCAUGGCCGGCGCCGAGCUGACGAGUUCCAACCUGGAAGCUCAGCGCGAGGGGCUGGCAUUUGUUGCCGGCUUCGUGGCAUACAAGUGUCACCACAUCGACGCCACCCUCGGUAGCCGGUCUCCUGACUUCUCGGGCGCCGCUGGAGACACUGAACACCCUGCCGAACAGCUGAAUUGUGACG